rnacentral:lncRNA from 1 species
GUCUCUACGGCUAGCAGGGAGACUACUAUGAUUUCAGCUGCAAUAUUUGAUGGAUAAAUCCCUUAUCCCAUCUGCUUGCUUAAUCCAGGAUUCUGAAAUGCAAAUGAUCAGAAAAGAAGCCUCUCUCUACAAAGGAAAGCACCCGAGUGCAUAUUCUCACAUUGCUGUGACUUCUGUGUCACCAUAAGACUGAAGACCCAGUUGCUGCUGCAGCAUCUUCCAUGCUCAUGGGCUCCUCAAAAUAUAAAAACAGAGCAGCGUCAAUUUUCAAAGUGAACAAUGUAUUGCUCAGGAUUUUCCCUGCAAUUUGAAUUGAUGAAGAUAUCAGAAGAGCCAUGCGGAGGUGCCAGAAGGGAUACACCAAACACGGGGCCUGGGCAUUACCAGCAGUGUGUGCAGUACGGUCAGGCAAUAGGUCACCCAUCCUGCUGUCUUGGCAGAGAGGUUUGGCAGCCUGCCCUGCAGCCCUUGCGAAGAGGAUGGCGAGCCACAGGCCGGAUCUCUCCUGCUGCAAUAUAAGCAUCAACAUGACUGGUGGCUGUCAGCAUGCUGUAUCAGCAAAAGUCCACAGAAAGAUGGUGCUUGCUAUAGAGUCACAUCAGCCUCAGCAGGACCUGCAAGGAACCAGCUGUGGGCCAGUGGUGAUCACCAGGGCUGCACAACCUUGCACAAGUGACAGGUGGGCUCCAGACAGAGAGACCUGCACAACAAGCAAAUGCUGUCUUGGUAUGCCACAGAGGUCUUCUCUCUUUGUCUCCUUGAAUCUUCCCAAGAGAUCCAGCCUGGCCACACUGGUUUUGUGCUAA